GUGAAUCAUCAAAUCUUUGAACACAAAUUGCACUCCCUGGUAUUCCGGAGAGUAUGCCUGUUUGAGGGUCAGUUUUAAUAACAAUCGGUGUGGUUGCUGCCUUUCGUGGUGACGCACUGGAUUUGGGUCGUCCUGACUUCGGUUAAGUGACCUAAAAUUGUGUAUGAUUUUUUUCGAACGUAUUUAAUUGAAUUUAUGU
rnacentral:misc_RNA from 1 species